UUGCACCUGCAGCGGGCGCAGCAUGGUCCUUGUGGUACUUUGCAGGUAGUCGGCCAUGUAUCGUUCGGUAAGAUUAGAAAUUUUCUAAUCUUUAAGGUUUUC
rnacentral:sRNA from 12 species